GAGAGAGGAAGAAUGGAAAGAGGCAAGAGAGCAGAGCUGAGAAUUAGAACUGGAAGCCUUUCCCGUGCUCAGGCGAGCUUGGCAGAAUCCGUCGUGGCAAAUGGAGCUGGAUGCAGCAGAAUCCAGGCUUAAGCUUGGCUCAGAUCUUGGACCCAGCAGAGCCUCCUUAGAUCUGCAGGAGCUUUCUGAAGGUCUCCCAGGCAAUAUUAAGACCCUGUGUUCACAUAGCACCCUCUUCCCUGUUGCAAAGCACCUGGCAAAGCUGGUUGAAAGCCCCUACAAGACCCCAGGGUUGGUGUGAAAGCAGACCAGUUGCCUGCCUUUGACUCUUCUGCCCAAAAUGCUGCCCUGAGCUCUCCCGAUAGCUCUUGUUUGAGUGGUCUGCACUUAGCCGUGAAAGGCAGGGGUCGAACCGGAUCAGCCGGGUGAUUUCCCAGGCCCAAAGUGUCGUCUUCCUCUCCUUUCUGCUGCUCUUGCCAAAGGCAGGGUGGUACCUGCCUUCGCCGACUCAAA